rnacentral:rRNA from 1 species
UACGUAGGGUGCAAGCGUUAUCCGGAAUUAUUGGGCGUAAAGAGCUCGUAGGCGGUUUGUUGCGUCUGCUGUGAAAACUGGAGGCUCAACCUCCAGCCUGCAGUGGGUACGGGCAAACUAGAGUGCGGUAGGGGAGAUUGGAAUUCCUGGUGUAGCGGUGGAAUGCGCAGAUAUCAGGAGGAACACCAAUGGCGAAGGCAGAUCUCUGGGCCGUAACUGACGCUGAGGAGCGAAAGCAUGGGGAGCGAACAGG